UACGUAGGGCGCAAGCGUUUGUCCGGAAUUAUUGGGCGUAAAGAGCUCGUAGGCGGCUUGUCACGUCGGGUGUGAAAGCCCCGGGGCUUAACCCCGGGUCUGCAUUCGAUACGGGCAGGCGUAGAGUGUGGUAGGGGAGAUCGGAAUUCCUGGUGUAGCGGUGAAAUGCGCAGAUAUCAGGAGGAACACCGGUGGCGAAGGCGGAUCUCUGGGCCAUUACUGACGCUGAGGAGCGAAAGCGUGGGGAGCGAACAGG
rnacentral:rRNA from 1 species